UGGGUUGUGGCUCAGUGGUAGAGCUCAGUAGUGCCUAGCAUGUGUGAGGCCCUGGGUUCAAUCCUCAGCACCACAU
rfam:Ictidomys tridecemlineatus contig025211, whole genome shotgun sequence.